rnacentral:rRNA from 1 species
GGGGAAUAUUGCACAAUGGGCGCAAGCCUGAUGCAGCAACGCCGCGUGAGGGACGACGGCCUUCGGGUUGUAAACCUCUUUUAGCAGGGAAGAAGCGAAAGUGACGGUACCUGCAGAAAAAGCGCCGGCUAACUACGUGCCAGCAGCCGCGGUAAUACGUAGGGCGCAAGCGUUAUCCGGAAUUAUUGGGCGUAAAGAGCUCGUAGGCGGUUUGUCGCGUCUGCUGUGAAAUCCCGAGGCUCAACCUCGGGUCUGCAGUGGGUACGGGCAGACUAGAGUGCGGUAGGGGAGAUUGGAAUUCCUGGUGUAGCGGUGGAAUGCGCAGAUAUCAGGAGGAACACCGAUGGCGAAGGCAGAUCUCUGGGCCGUAACUGACGCUGAGGAGCGAAAGGGUGGGGAGCAAACA